rnacentral:rRNA from 1 species
AUUGAACGCUGGCGGCAUGCCUUACACAUGCAAGUCGAACGGUAACAGGUCUUCGGAUGCUGACGAGUGGCGAACGGGUGAGUAAUACAUCGGAACGUGCCCGAUCGUGGGGGAUAACGGAGCGAAAGCUUUGCUAAUACCGCAUACGAUCUACGGAUGAAAGCGGGGGAUCUUCGGACCUCGCGCGGACGGAGCGGCCGAUGGCAGAUUAGGUAGUUGGUGGGAUAAAAGCUUACCAAGCCGACGAUCUGUAGCUGGUCUGAGAGGAUGAUCAGCCGCACUGGGACUGAGACACGGCCCAGACUCCUACGGGAGGCAGCAGUGGGGAAUUUUGGACAAUGGGGGCAACCCUGAUCCAGCCAUGCCGCGUGCAGGAUGAAGGCCUCGGGUUGUAACUGCUUUGUACGGACGAAAGACUCUGGUUAAUACCUGGGUCCAUGACGGUACCGUAAGAAUAAGCACCGGCUAACUACGUGCCAGCAGCCGCGGUAAUCU